CAUACGGUUAUAUUGGCCAGACAACACUUCAUUUGUGAUGAGAAUCUCAGGUUUCAUGGUCACCUGAAGUCACCCAGGUAGGUGUUUGAUCCCUACCAAGUCCCAAUAGCAAACCAGAAACUGUUUCUCAAAAGAAUGGUUGUCUGCAGAAGAGGGCCUCCAUUUAUCAAAUAUCCUGUGAGUCUUUCCUUUAAUUUUGCUAUUAACGAAUACUGACUGGUUUCUGCUAAAGGAUCGAUAUGGCAUCCCUGUUUGCCAUGGACACUUUGGGUGUCACUUGCCCUGCUAGAUCAGCACCAAAUGAUAGGGCAGCAUGUACAGCAGCCUCAACUGGUUGUAGGGUCUAUUCUUAUUCUGGUCCCUAGUCAAAACUGACCCCUCACGGUGACUCUAUUGAUGAGAUAUGUUAUUUCCAAAAUCCAUGGGCCUACCAACCUUUGUGCAACUUUUGGAGUAACUAGUUGUAUAAGGCACAACUCGUAUUUCCCCUUGGAGAAGACAUCCUUGCAUACUCUAGACCACUGAAUUUCUAGACACUUUCCUGAGUUGGUAGGCCCCUGAAUUUUUUUGUGGAGUUUAUCUCCUACUUUCUAGUUUGCAUUUGUCUUACUAUGGCAAUUAAAAUAUUAAAAAAAAAGUAUUUGUUACUUCCUGCUCAUCAGCUCCAAUAAUAUUGCCAAUAUAAUGGAUCAGUGUCAUGUUUUGUGGAGUGCUAAGGUGAUCAAGAUCUCUGCAUAUUAUAUUAUGUCAGGGUAGAACUGGCAUAGCCCUGAAGAUACAUGAUGGCCCUGCCAGCUAAAAGGAAAGUGCCCUGGUGAACCCUUCACACUGUCACUGAGAGGAAGCCAGGUGAUAGCUACAUGCCAAAUAUCCAGGGCUGUGCUGACUUUCCCUGGGAAAGACACUAAAUCUGGGACAGUGGCUGCAAAUGACAUAAGUUCAUGAUGGUCCCCAGUCAUUCUCCAAGACCCAUCUGACUUCUGCACAGGCCAUACUGUGGAUUAAGUGGGUAUGUGAUAGGUCUCACUACAACUGCUUCUUUCAACUCUUUGACUGAGGCAUCUGUGGCAUGAUGCACUUUUUCCAGGGAUGUGGUAUUUUUACUGGGUUGUUUUUGUAGGGAGGGGAAAUUUCCAAGGCUUUCAUUUAGUCCUUCCUACUCUGUUGGUUCCUAGUCUAUGGAUAAGAGAGCCUAUAUGGGGAUUCUGCUACUAUGUCAGUUUUUAAUUUAUUGCCUCUCAUCUCCAAAUUCACCCUCCAGUAUCUGCCCUGAGAUAAUCAGUUGGACUAUUUACGCAUUUCUUGGCGCACUGAACGUGAUGUUAAGCUUUACCAGUAGAGGGCACCCGAGGGCCAUUGAACGAGGAAAGGGAUGCCCUUCCUGGUUCUAGUUCUGUUGAGGUUUCAGUUUUCUCGUUUUUUUGCUGCGCAGUUUUGCCGCAUGUAUGUGGGCACAUCCUUAGAUAUGUGUCCAGAGUAAGGAGUUCUUUGGUGGACCCCAUAGAUCCCAGCUUGCAACCGCCUUGCUGCACCUCCUCUUCCCGGACUCAGACACCAAAAGCCGGAGACCACAUGCUGCCUUUGCGGUUAUCUGGCACCAAAGAUCGAAGCCAACUUGGACCAUCACAAGGGAAUAUCUGAUGUUCCAGGAAAAGGCAGAGGUGGAGGCAGAGGAGGAGGCAGGGGUGUGACAAAGGAAAUCACCAGGAAACCAAGAAAGAGCGUGCACACAGAAGCAGGGGGAGCAGCAAUCAGGAAAAGGAGGCUUCCCACUGAGCAAGGAUCCUGAUGCGGGCCUCCAACCCAGGACCCUGGGAUCGUGACCUAAGCCAAAGGCAGAGAGCCACUUAACUGACUGAGCCAUCCAGGGGCCCCAGAAGAGGUGGAUUUUAAACCAAGUUACAGAGUGGAUCACAGAGCUGGAGGGGAGAGGCCUGGGAAUAGGGACAGAUGCCUGGGGUCUGGGGCCAACAGAGGGACAGGAAUCAAUGGGGGUGACUCAAACUUUAGCCCUUCAAGUGUGCUCAGAAAAGGACUCUUCUUCCCCAGUCUCAGUGACAGGCAAGUCUCUGGCCUCUAUCCCUACACCCUAGUAUCCUCACCUGUAAAAUGGAGUAAUAGGAAAACAGCUGUCAUUUAUUGAAUACUCACUGUGUGUCAAGCCAAGGACACUCUCCACAUACUUCCUCACAUAAUCCUUACAACACGCUCACCAGGCUGUUAAUAUUAUCCCCAGUUUACAGAUGAGAAAACUGAAGCCCGGAGAGGUUAAGUCCCUUGGCUCAAGGUUAUAAGCGAACAAAUGGAGAUGCUGAUAUUCAAACCCAGAGCCUGUUGUCUGGGCUUUAACACUGUACUGCUAACCCAUACAAGGCACUUACAGUUUACAAAGGACUCCCAUCACCUACUGUGGUGGUUGAAGGCAAUAAUGACCACCACACCUCGAAAAUGCUGAGAUUACCAUAUGUAGUAGGCUGAAUAAUGGCCCUCAGAAGAUGCCCCCGACCUAAUCCUCAGAACCUGUGGAAGGAGCCCAAGUCAAGGAACGUGGGUGGUGUGUAGAAGCUGGAAAGGGCUGGGAAACAGAUACUCCCCUACAGCCUUUUGGAGGAACCAGCCCUGCUGAUACCUUGACUUUAGCCCACUGAGACUAAUUUUGGACCUCUGGCCUCCAGAAGGGUAAGAUAAUAAAUUUGUGUUUCUUUAAGUGACUAAAUACAUUUAUGGUAAUCUGUUGCAGGAGCAAUGAAUAUACCAUGUCACCCUACAUCUGGCUCCUCUGGCUAGCCCUGGUUCAACUAUUACAACUUCAGCCGCUAUCAGUAAACAGCCCUACAUUUUAAUAUAGUUCUUUAAAGUUCCAGUUUGGUCCCUCUGAACCUCAGUCUCUUUCUUUGUUAGAAAUAAAAAUAGGGCUAAUACACCUAAGACUCUUUGCCAGGCACAGAGUGAACGUACCUUCUAUUAUUUGAAGGUUUCCACAAACCACUAGGGCGGAUGAGGCCUAAUUAUUGUCCCCAUUGCUCAGAUGAACAAACUAAGGCUCAGAGAGGGGGAAAGGCACGCAUAGGGCCAUACGCCUAGUGAGUAAACAGAGCCAGGAUUUGAGCCAGAACUUCUGACUUCAUAUCUACCACACUGAGGUUCAUAUCUCACAUUCCACCUCCUCAGGGAAGCCUUCCUGGAUAGCCUCAGCACAUUCAUUUACUCAUUCAUUCACCAAACAGUUGCUAUGAUUGCUCUAUGCCCAGUGUGGUUGCUAGAUAAGGCUGGAGACCAAGUUCAGCUGUCAGGAGCCCAAAACCUAGUGGACAAGACAGACACACAAACCAGCCAUCCCAAACAGCCUGAUAAAUGCCAAGACAAAGGGGGAGGAGGCACAGCAGGUGAUGGAAGCCCAAAAGAAAGGAAACUGAUUGAGCUAGGGGUCAGUCUGGCCCUGGCCAAGACUUCCUGGAGGAGGUGGUGAUUGAGGUGAGGACAAGUAAGUGUGAGGAGGGGUUCCAGUGGAGUAAUGGGUAAACGGAGGUGGGGGCAGGGGUACAAUGUUGUGGCUUCUUGAGGACAUGGAACGGGUUGGGUCAUCUGAGACCCCAAAGUCCCUCUGGGCCUCUGUGUUCCUGUGUAUGAACAGGAAUCAUGGGCCAGCUUCCCAGAGCUUUGGUAAUUGCUGAGCCCAGGGGAGGGCUGAACAGGAAGAAGACCGGUCCUGGGUUUCCUAGAGGAGGAGGGCUGAAGGUCAGGAAGGGUCAAAGGUAAGGGGACAGGGCAGGGUGGAGGGAGUUCUGGAGAGGCAGGUCCUGGGCUCAAGCUCCCAUUCUAUGUCUGACUCAUGGUAUGAUUACAGAAAAGUCCCCUUAGAGCCUCAGUGACUCCAUCUGAGAAAUGGAGCAUGAGACAAAACUGUCUCCAAAGACCCUCCCCAGCCCUGAAGGGGAAAUGACAUGACACAAAAUUACAAAAGGGUCUUUAUUUGUAAAAAGCCAAAGGGGCCCUUGGGGCAACAGGACAGGCAGGCCGGCUUCUCAGGGGUCGGGGGCAUUUGGGCAGAUGCGCUUGAGUGGGGGGGCGCCCUCCGAGUCCUCUGUGUCACCCUGGGCUGCCUCGGGGACAGGUGGCACUGGCUCAAAGACGGGGUAAGCUUCGGGGGCCUGGAGAGGAAGGGCGGACAGGCGUGAGCUCCACCCAAACCCAGGAGUGCAGCCUCCUAGCCUCUGCCUUCUCCAAGCCUCCACUCCACUUCCCUUCUGCACCUAGGAGUCUAGCCCAGGGCUAGGGACCCAGGAAGCAGAUGAAUAGGGCACUGGAAAUAACAACACUGUUUUGGGGAAAGAGACUGAUACUUGAUAUUUCUGGAAAAUGCCUCAAGGGAGUCCUUGGAGGAAAAGUCAGAAGUUUGUGGGGGUCUCUCUUAAGCUAAUUUUAUAGUUUAGGACUAAAAUAAAUAAAAUAAAAAUAAAAUACUUGGAGGAGCACCACAAUCUUUUCAGGCUUUUAAUGGUCUUAAAUCAGCCCCGAUCCAGCCCACAGGACUUUGUCUUAAAACACCCUUUCCUUUUCAGACCCAAGAACCCAGCCUCUGAGACUUUGAGCUGUGUCUGAGGUCUAUAUUUCCUGCCUGGACCUCAGGAGUGCAGCCCCCAAGCCUUCAGCUGCCCCAGAACCCCCCACUGCCUCUGAGACCCAGGGGGCCCAGCCAUCUGGCCUCUCUCACCUCAGCCUCCAGCAAUUCUGGAACAGGCUCCUCCUUGGUCAGCAUUGGGGGUUCAUCCGUGCUGCCUGCAGUGAUGCCCCCAGGAUCUGGAACAUCAAGUUAACAGAAUUCCCUGAGUGGCUCCUCCGUGCCACAACACAGACCCUGGUUGGGGACACCAAGGAGUGAGCUGGGAACCUUGCUAUUGGCCAGAGGAAGACACAGCAAGGACAUUUAAGUGGGAUCUUGAUGGAGACACAGAGAGAAAGAGAGAGGGGCAGAGAGACAAGCAGGCACCAUGCAGAGAGCCUGACGUGGGACUCGAUCUAGGGUCUUCAGGAUCACGCCCUAGACUGCAGGCGGCGCUAAACAGCUGCACCACCGGGGCCACCCAAACUGGCAGUUUUCUAGAGAAGCUGAGAGAAAUGCGUAGGUGUGAGCACCAAGUGAUGUGUACUGGAAUCUUCAUAGCACCGUAGAGCACGGCCUCAAAUUGGAAACAGCCCAUCAGGAGUAGAGUGGAAAAUGAAUUGUAGCCUGUUCACACAGUGGACACAGCAGAGAGUGAUAUCCUGCUACACAGACAACAGGGACAAGUCUCAUGAAAGAAAUCAGAUACAACAGUACGCAUUAUAUGAUUCCUUUUAUAUGAAAUUCAAAACAAAACUAAUUUGUGGUGUGAGAACUCAGGAUAGUGGUCACUCUUGGGAGAGGCCAAAAGGGAGCUCUUGGACUGGUCACAUUCAGUUUCUUAAUCUGAAUCUGGUGCUGAUCCCCCCACCACCACCAGUACAUUUACUCUGAAUAUUCACCGAACUGUACACUUUUCCCUAUGUAUAUUAUA